rnacentral:lncRNA from 1 species
CAAAAAUCAGAAAACUUAUGCAAAUAUAAUACUAAAGCUAAUUAGUCUUCUCAUCAGGCUGCAUCCCCUUUCAUCCGACUUAGUGCAAAAGUUGCUGAAACUAGAGUACUAUGAUUUAUUUGUAUUCUUUCAAUUGAAAAAGUAAAAAAAUAAUUAGAAUAUCUUCGGGUCCUUCUAGUUGAUUUUAAGCAAAGUAUCUUUCUUCUUUUUAAAAAAAAUUUAUUACAUAGUUAACCAUGAAAUACUUGUUGUCCAUGAUUUAUUUUCGUAUUAGAUGUCUGUAAAUUUCUCAAAGCAUAGGUUUUUUUUUUUUUGGUUGCUAAAAGAAAGGGAGGGGGGGAUUAACCCCACCCGCAUAGCAGCCCCCAUUUGGCCCUCCUUCCACCAGAGAAUGUCCAAUGCAGCUAGAAAAUUUCUCAUACCCUCCCCAUGAGCACGAGCGAACCUGCGUAUGAGUACAUCACUCCAGCACCACCUCAGUACUAAAGAACCAGUGCGCUUCCAACGGGCAAACCAGACGGGGGGUAUCCGGUUCCUACAUUUAAUCAACGCAGUCACUCCAUUGGAAACAAAGCUCCGUUCCAACUAUGCUACCACCUUGGUGGUAAAGCAUAGGUUAUUUAGCUUGAUUAACUCUUCAAAUAUAACAUUUGAUUUUCGAUAGGUUUUCGAAGCCCACCUCCAUCCGAUCUAUAUUUAUUAUCCUAACAUAGACACAAAUUGAUCCUUCAAUCGAUCGGCAUGGAACAAAAAGUUAGAUCCAAAAUUCUAACGAGUACAUAUUUGUGUCCAAUAAAACCCGAACCUAACUCAACCACAGGG